rnacentral:lncRNA from 1 species
UGUUGGAUUCCUAGUCUUUGCACGCACAGGUUUAUCUGGAACCUUGCGUAUAAAGGUUCUGUGGAAGGCACUGUAGGCAUAAGAGACAUUAUCUGCUCCUAGGUGUUCACUGUCUUCUGAAUCAGGCUUGGGUUUGAAGAAAACGCCCAGACAUCCAAAAUCCAGUAAUAAUUUAAGUACCAACGAACUCCAAAAGAAAUUAGAAGGUACAGUUUCUACCCCAGAGGAGGAUGCCUGCUUAAGACAGAUCAGGAGCAGGGAGGAUGGAAGUCAUGGAACACAAGGAGCUCAAGGCCAAGGUUGCUUCCUGCUUUUACCAUUAUGACUACUAUCGUUCCAUGAAGAAUGGCAUUGGAACCUACCAGAAGACAGGACACCAGUCACUACACAGGACUGAUGCAUACUUACUCAGUCUCAGCUAGGCUUGUUCCCUGAGCCCUCUCUCUACCUGAUGUUCUUGCUAAAGGCUUAUACUCUCUGAGGUCAUCCAUUGUUUGAGUUAUUC